GACAAACGGAUCGAGUUAAGAUUAGGCGGUGUAAAAGAAAGUUAGAAUUAAUCAGAUUGUAGGAAUUAACUAUGCUCUUUGUGGAGGUGGAAUUCGUAUAAAGAGAGAAGGGUUUUUGUUUUCUUUUGAUUGAGACUUUGAAAUUUUUAUUGAAGACCGGGAUUAGAUACCCCGUUAUUUAUUUUAUAAAUUUUAAUUUUGUUGCAAGUGUUGUUUUACCUGAGUAUUACGAGCAGCGUCGGGUCGGAUGUGUCUGACGGGCAUAAGCUUAAAACUCAAAAAACUUGGCGGUGCUUUAUUUCUUUCUAGGGGAACCUGCCCUAUAAUCGAUAGUCCACGGUUGAACUUACUUUCUCUUGCGUGGUUUAAAACUCACAGUCUGUAUACCGUCGUUGUCAGAUUACCUUUGAGAGUAAAAAGAAGUUGUCAGAAGAGGGUUAAAAUAAAAGUUGUGUAUUUAGCUUGAGAUUUGUCUUUGAUGUCAGAUCAAGGUGCAGCUUAUGGGAAAGUAGAGGUGGGUUACAGUAAAGAUUUAUUAUACGGAUUUUGGGUUGUAAAACCUAAAUGAAGGUGGACUUAGAAGUAAUGUAAAGUUGUGAAAAAUUAGAGAGUUUACGUGAACAAAGUACUAAAGUGCGU
rnacentral:rRNA from 1 species